CUCGCUGGGGCCUGGAAGAGGAGGACUUCCAGCCCCGGGAGGAGGCCAUGCUCUACCACAACCAGACCGCCGAGCUGCGGGAGCUGCUGGAGUUCACCCACAUGUACCUGCAGUCAGAUGAUGAGAGCCAGAGCCUGAACUCGCAUGAGAAGGGGACACCCCACACCGCUCAAGCUUGGGAAGCCUGGUGCCGAUGGCCCCACCCUCACCAGCCUGGGCAGCAGCAAGAACUAUUUAUUAAAAACUUAAGAUGGGCCAGGUGCGGUGGCUCACACCUGUAAUCCCAGCAUUUUGGGAGGCCAAGGUGGGUGGAUCACUUGAGGCCAGGAGUUCAAGACCAGCCUGGCCAACAUGAUGAGACCUCCGUCUCUACUAAAAUACAUAAAUUAGCCGGGUGUGGUGGCAGGCGCCUGAAAUCCCAGCUACUCAAGAGGCUGAGGCAGGAGAAUCGCUUGAACCUGGGAGGCAAAGGUUGCAGUGAACUGAGAUUGCGCCACCGCACUCCAGCCUGGGCGACAGAGCGAGACUCCAUCUUUAAAAAAAAACAAGACGGGCCGGCACGGUGGCUCACGCCUGUAAUCCCAGCACUGAGAGGCCGAUCACUUGAGGUCAGGAGUUCAAGACCAGCCUGGCCAACAUGGUGAAACCCCA
rnacentral:lncRNA from 1 species